UACAGGUGGACACAACUGGACACAGUGCUAUUUCUAUAUAAAACUUCUGAAUAUGGGGGGCUACAGGCGGACACAAGUGGACACAACGCAAUUUCUAUAUAAAACUUAUAAAAUCUGCUGGCUACAGGUGGACACAGCUGGACACAGUGCUAUUUCAAUAUAAAACUUCUUAAUAUGGGGGGCUACAGGCGGACACAAGUGGACACAAACCAAUUACUAUAUAAAACUUCUAGAAAUGAGGGGAUACAGGCGGACACAAGUGGACACAACGCAAUUUCUAUAUAAAACUUAUAAAAUCUGCUGGCUACAGGUGGACACAGCUGGACACAGUGCUAUUUCAAUAUAAAACUUCUAGAAAUGGGGGGCUACAGGC
rnacentral:lncRNA from 1 species